UUCUCGGGCCGGAUUCAAGGAGCGGGUCGAGGCUAAUAUCCGCCGCAUCGCGCCCGCUAAAAGUCCCGUUUCGUCGUACCUUUUCUUCAUUUCGCCACCGCGAGUCCGCCCCGAACGCGGCGGGCCGCGCAACCUAUUAAACCCUGAGAUGUCCUUCCGUGGAUAAAACCCUAAUCGGAACAAUCUCCGACAAGCGUUGGCGCGAACUUGGAGUUUCGAUGAUGUGCUUCCCCGGAUUCUCUUCUCUCGGUCUCUAUUCAUGCGAAUUCGAAUUGAUUUUCGUUCCUCAACUGAAGUGAACGCGAUUGUCUGCAUCGCGACAUUUUCAGCAAAUGAGCUUCGGGACCAAAGCUAGUCUCUUCCCUGCGCUACACCAGUCGCUUCUUCACCAGCAUCACCAGUGCCGGCUCAUAACCAAGGUCCGUCUCAAAUGGGUCAAGAAUCGGAGCCUCGACCACGUCAUCGACACCGAGACCGACCUCAAGGCCGCUUGCCUUCUCAAGGACGCCAUCAACCGAUCCUCCACCGGGUUCCUGACCGCGAAGUCGGUCGCCGAUUGGCAGAAGGCACUCGGCCUCACCAUCCCUGUUCUCAGAUUUUUGCGCAGGUAUCCUACGCUCUUUCAAGAAUUCCCGCAUGCCCGAUACGCAAAUUUGCCUUGUUUUAAGUUGACAGACACUGCUCUGCUGUUGGACUCACAGGAGAAAAAGAUACACCAGAACUAUGAACGUGAUACUGUAGAGAGGCUCUCUAAAGUGCUCAUGAUGAUGAAGACUAAGACUGUGCCAUUGCAAUCCUUGAUUCCCUUGAAAUGGGAUCUGGGUUUGCCAGAUAAUUUCAUGAAAACGUUGAUUCCAAAUUACCCCGAUCAUUUUCGAUUCAUUAAAGCUCCGAGUGGUGAUGCGUACCUGAAACUCGUGAAUUGGCCUGAGAGUUAUGCGGUCUCAGCAUUGGAGAAGAGAUAUGAGGGUAAAGACGUAGGCGAUGAAUAUAGGCAGUUUAAGAGGGGACAAACAGCCCUGGCAUUUCCCAUGAAUUUUCCAAGGGGAUAUGGUGCACAGACAAAGGUAAAAGCAUGGAUGGAGGAGUUCCAGAAAUUGCCAUAUAUUUCUCCAUAUGAAGAUUCUAGGCAUAUUGACCCGAGCAGUGAUCUCAUGGAGAAGCGAGUUGUUGGGGUUUUGCAUGAGAUCUUGAGCUUGACCAUCCAUAAGAAGACUAAGAGGAACUACUUAAGGAGCUUGAGAGAAGAACUAAAUCUUCCUCAUAAGUUUACACGGAUAUUUACUCGGUAUCCUGGGAUAUUCUACCUCUCUUUGAAGUGUAAGACGACUACUGUUGCUAUUAGGGAAGGGUACCGGAGGGGUAAAUUGGUGGAUCCACAUCCCCUUGUCCGCCUAAGGGAGAAGUUUUACCAUGUGAUGAGAACUGGGCUGAUUUACCGGGGUAAAGGGCUAGAUAUGAUACCCCAGGAAGACAUUUUGCUUGAUGAUGUGGAGGAUGAGACAGAGCAAGAGCAGUCAGAGGAGGAAGAACUUGGUAUAAAUGAAGGGUGCUCCGAGGAAACAUCAGAAAUGGAUGGUGAAACUGAUGGCCAAGAAUGAUUCCAGAGAAAAAAGCAAAGGAUGAAUGUGCAGAAUAUCUAGAUGAAGCAAAACAACAAGAAUUUUGAGCGUUAGCGGCUACGAUGCACGAAUUCGGUAGCCUUGGGAGGGACAUGUUGGAAACAGAGAAUGACAAACGUUUUAUGGUUGGAGGAGGAUCUCUUUCACAAGAUAUCAUGUCAUUUAGAAGGGGACUCAUUUCCAAGUCAGGCUCUGGAUUGUCUGCAAUAACCACUUCAGACUGAGGAUACGUUUGCCCGUGCAUCUCGCAGACUUGCUUCUGAAGAGAGAAGUCUUUUAGAUCAUAGCAGGAACGCCUAUAGGCAAGGAGGUGAUCAUCUGUUUUUACUGUUGUUUCAAUUAUUGGAUCUGUGAGGUGCCAUCCAUGAGCUUUCUUCGUGAGCAACGCGAGUACUUCGACUUGUAAAGUGUAAGGCAAGGAGAUGAUACUAAUGCUAAUUAUUGAUUAUACCAGUGACUUUAUUGAGAAUGCCGUAUUGAACAAGUUUAUCUCCUGGAGGCUAGAGACACUUGCAACAAUCAUAGGACUUCUUAUAUCUAACCUUAAACGGUUGUUUUGAUAGAUGCUUUAAUUUCGAUGUUUUCAAGCCAAA